rnacentral:rRNA from 1 species
CCUACGGGAGGCAGCAGUGGGGGAUAUUGCACAAUGGGGGGAACCCUGAUGCAGCGACGCCGCGUGGGUGAAGAAGCGCCUCGGCGCGUAAAGCCCUGUCAGCCGGGAAGCAAAUGACGGUACCUGAAGCAGAAGCCCCGGCUAACUACGUGCCAGCAGCCGCGGUAAUACGUAGGGGGGAAGCGUUAUCCGGAUUUACUGGGGGUAAAGGGGGCGCAGACGGGGAUGCAGGCCAGGAGGGAAAGCCCGGGGGCCAACCCCGGGACUGCCGUUGGAACUGGGUGGCUGGAGUGCAGGAGGGGCAGGCGGAAUUCGUGGUGUAGCGGUGAAAUGCGUAGAUAUCAGGCAGAACACCGGUGGCGAAGGCGGCCUGCCGGACUGCAACUGACGUUGAGGCCCGAAAGCGUGGGGAGCGAACAGGAUUAGAUACCCGGGUAGUC